GGAAAGAAGCGUAAUUGUCUCAGGGCCAGUGGCGCAAUGGAUAACGCGUCUGACUACGGAUCAGAAGAUUCCAGGUCUUAUGAGUAGGUGACUGUCCAAAGGAAGUGGAAGCUAAUUAUCUGGGCUGUGGACCGUCUGUGCUCCUGGCAUCUUCCUCCUGAUGUCAAGCUGGUGGCUGCUCUGUUGGUUGUUAACUAACCCAUCCAUGGCACUUUCCUGUGACUUCUAGAAAUAGCAGGUACUAUGAGUCUGCCUAUAUGAGCCAGAGAGAAGCAAAAGCAAAGGAGUGAAAAAGAAAUAGAGUACCUGGUAAAGUCAGAGCUAGUGAAGAAGUCUGUCUUCUGUUCAGCCUCCCUCUGCCCCGCCCUCCAUGCUGAACUCUUGUGCUCAGAAGCAUGUAAAUCACUGACUGGAACGCCUACUGGAUGCAAGCCUUUGCUGAGAUGAAAAGGACCUUGGGGCUCCCUGAGACCCUUUUCAGGAGGUGCUUAAGGAUCUCCUACAUGUCUGUGUGAGGCCAAGUUUUCUUUAUUCAACCAAAGCCAUGUACCACCACAGAAAGAAGAUAAAGGAAUUCACUUGUCUUCUAUUAAACCAGGUAUCAAGGAGAUUUAUAAAAAUAAAAAACAAUGUUACUCUUGUUGUUAAA